UACGUAGGGGGCAAGCGUUGUCCGGAUUUAUUGGGCGUAAAGAGCGUGUAGGCGGCUUUACAGGUCCGUUGUGAAAACUCGAGGCUCAACCUCGAGACGCCGGUGGAAACCGUAAAGCUAGAGUCCGGAAGAGGAGAGUGGAAUUCCUGGUGUAGCGGUGAAAUGCGCAGAUAUCAGGAAGAACGCCCGUGGCGAAGUCGGCUCUCUGGGACGGUACUGACGCUGAGACGCGAAAGCGUGGGGAGCGAACAGG
rnacentral:rRNA from 1 species